AUUGUUCUCACUUAAUACAUGAGAACAUGCAAUAUUUGGCUGUUUCUGCGUUAAUUCACGUAGGAUAAUGACCUUCAGCUGCAUCUGUGUUGCUGCAAAGGACAUGAUUUUGUUCUUUUUUAUGACUGCCUAGUACUUUGUGGUGUAUAUGCACCACAUUUUCUUUAUUUAAUGAACCGUUGGUGGAUACUUACCUUGGUUCCAUGACCUUGCUGUUAAGUUGAACUAAUUGACACCUACCACCGCUUGCUGGAGGUUGAGGACGCCCAGUGAGUGUGCACCCGGGCUGGAGAAGGCAGGAGUGAGGCUGGGUCUCUGGAGCUGCCCCAGGGGCUGGACAAGCUGACCCUGCCUGGAGCCAACCUGGAGAUGCAGCCUGAGAACCUCAAGGAGGACCUGGUCUACCUGAAGAAGAACCAUGAGGAGGAAAUGAACGCCCUUUGAGGUCAGGUGGACAAGGAUGUCAGUGUGAAGAUGGACACUGUGCCUGGAGUGAACCUGAGCUGCAUCCUGAAUGAGAUGCGUGACCAGGACAAGAAACUGGUGGAGAAGAGCUGCAAGGA
ensembl:lncRNA novel transcript